rnacentral:tRNA from 1 species
GGUCGGUUAAGGUGGAAGGCUGGUUAAACCGUUUGGUUUUCGACCACUAGGACCCGGGUUCGAUUCUCGCAUUGGACA